rnacentral:rRNA from 1 species
UACAGAGGGGGCAAGCGUUGUUCGGAAUUACUGGGCGUAAAGGGCGCGUAGGCAGCCUGUUAAGUCGAACGUGAAAUCCCCGGGCUCAACCCGGGGACUGCGUCCGAUACUGGCAGGCUUGAAUCCGGGAGAGGGAUGCGGAAUUCCAGGUGUAGCGGUGAAAUGCGUAGAUAUCUGGAGGAACACCGGUGGCGAAGGCGGCAUCCUGGACCGGCAUUGACGCUGAGGCGCGAAAGCCAGGGGAGCAAACGGG